rnacentral:rRNA from 1 species
UACGUAGGGGGCUAGCGUUAUCCGGAAUUACUGGGCGUAAAGGGUGCGUAGGUGGUUUCUUAAGUCAGAGGUGAAAGGCUAAGGCUCAACCGUAGUAAGCCUUUGAAACUGGGAAACUUGAGUGCAGGAGAGGAGAGUGGAAUUCCUAGUGUAGCGGUGAAAUGCGUAGAUAUUGGGAGGAACACCAGUUGCGAAGGCGGCUCUCUGGACUGUAACUGACACUGAGGCACGAAAGCGUGGGGAGCAAACAGGAUUAGAUACCCUGGUAGUCCCUGAG